CGAGGACUAAAUUGAUGUUAGAGUUAGCAAGAAAAAAACAGAAGAUGAUGGUUGCGAUGUUGUUUCAAAUGAUAACAUGGAUUCUUCAGAUACUGAAGAGAAUGAAAUGAUCGAUUUCAGAAAAUUCAGAGACAACUCAAAACUAUCGCCGCCGUUCUAAAUCUGCAAGUUCAUCGUCCAGUAGUUCUUCCAGUAGCUCCUCGUCAUCAUCUUUUGUAGAAGAUAGCGAUGACUCAGUUAAAGAUCCAGAUUAAAAAUCAAAAUUCAGAUUUACAUUAGCUGAAUUUAGUGAAAUUCCAAUGACAUCUGAAAGGAACUCUCAAGAAAUAAACCAAAAUGAAAACAUGUCUACCGUCGCAAUAAAUGAAAAUACAUUACCACAAGAUUCAUUGUAUCAGUCAAACACAGCUACAACUAAAAAUCAAACUCCAAACUCAAAUGAAGUUGAAAUAGUUUAGACGCCUAUAAAAUAGGGAAAGAAACGGUCAAGACAGGAAAGUUGGACGAAAAAUGUUGCUAAAAUUUGAGAAAUUGUGGUAAGUCCUACGUAUCAUCUAAAACUAAAAAAGUAAUGCCUGAACGAAUACUUAAACCCCCUUGUAAAGAAACCUGUAAAUUUAAAUGCCGAUCACUCAUUAAUGAAACCCAACGCCAAGAAAUUUUAAAUGAUUACUGGGAUUUGGGUGAUAUUGAAAGACAAUGGUCAUUUAUACUUCAGUCCAUUGAUGAAGUAAAGCCAGUACAACGUUAUGUUAGAAUUGAUGAAAAUGGAACUCCAGCACCGAAACGAAACAAUAAUAAUGCAUUCUUUUUUACUUUGCAAGGCGUAAAAAUAAGGGUUUGCAAGGACUUCUUUCGAAACACUCUGCCAAUUAUUAUUAUUAAUGGAAUUGAUGAAAUUAAUAUUAAUUAAUGGAAUUGAUUGCCAUUGCAAUCAAUUCCAUUAAUUAAUAUUGGCCAGUAAGUCGUUAUAAUAUGUAAUAUGUAAUGUACAUAAUAGCCGCUAUCACACGACGAGACUUCUUGAAAUAUAUUCGCCGUUGUCACUAUUCCUGUAUAUACCUAUGUUUUAAUUAAUUCUGUCAAGUAGUCGUUAAUUAAAACUGAUAACAUACCUUAAUCAGAUGUAUACAAAUUCAUGUAGGACGAGCAGAGAAGUGAAAACUACUAGAA